rnacentral:rRNA from 1 species
UACGAAGGGUGCAAGCGUUACUCGGAAUUACUGGGCGUAAAGCGUGCGUAGGUGGUUGUUUAAGUCUGUUGUGAAAGCCCUGGGCUCAACCUGGGAAUUGCAGUGGAUACUGGGCGACUAGAGUGUGGUAGAGGGUAGUGGAAUUCCCGGUGUAGCAGUGAAAUGCGUAGAUAUCAGGAGGAACAUCGAUGGCGAAGGCAGCCCCUUGGACCUGUACUGACGCUCAUGCACGAAAGCGUGGGGAGCAAACAGG